rnacentral:rRNA from 1 species
GCAUAUCAAUAAGCGGAGGAAAAGAAACCAACAGGGAUUGCCCUAGUAACGGCGAGUGAAGCGGCAACAGCUCAAAUUUGAAAUCUGGCGUAAGCCCGAGUUGUAAUUUGUAGAGGAUGCUUCUGGGUAGCGGCCGGUCUAAGUUCCUUGGAACAGGACGUCAUAGAGGGUGAGAAUCCCGUAUGUGACUGGCUUGCACCCUCCACGUAGCUCCUUCGACGAGUCGAGUUGUUUGGGAAUGCAGCUCUAAAUGGGAGGUAAAUUUCUUCUAAAGCUAAAUACCGGCCAGAGACCGAUAGCGCACAAGUAGAGUGAUCGAAAGAUGAAAAGCACUUUGGAAAGAGAGUUAAAAAGCACGUGAAAUUGUUGAAAGGGAAGCGCCCGCAACCAGACUUUGCGGCGGUGUUCGGCUGGUCUUCUGACCGGUUUACUCGCCGCCGUGAGGCCAUCAUCGUCUGGGACCGCUGGAUAAGACCUGAGGAAUGUAGCUCCCUUCGGGGUGUGUUAUAGCCUCUGGUGAUGCAGCGCGUCUCGGGCGAGGUCCGCGCUUCGGCAAGGAUGAUGGCGUAAUGGUUGUCGGCGGCCCGUCUUGAAACACGGACCAAGGAGUCUAACAUCUAUGCGAGUGUUCGGGUGUCAAACCCCUACGCGUAAUGAAAGUGAACGGAGGUGGGAACUUUUUGUGCACCAUCGACCGAUCCUGAUGUCCUCGGAUGGAUUUGAGUAAGAGCAUAGCUGUUGGGACCCGAAAGAUGGUGAACUAUGCCUGAAUAGGGUGAAGCCAGAGGAAACUCUGGUGGAGGCUCGCAGCGGUUCUGACGUGCAAAUCGAUCGUCAAAUUUGGGUAUAGGGGGCGAAAGACUAAUCGAACCAUCUAGUAGCUGGGUUCCUGCCGAAGUU